AGAGUUUGAUCCUGGCUCAGGAUGAACGCUAAGGCUUAACACAUGCAAGUCGAACGGCAGCACGGGUGCUUGCACCUGGUGGCGAGUGGCGAACGGGUGAGUAAUAUAUCGGAACGUACCUUAUUGUGGGGGAUAACGCAGCGAAAGCUGUGCUAAUACCGCAUAAUCCCUAAGGGGGAAAGCGGGGGACCGUAAGGCCUCGCGCAAUUAGAGCGGCCGAUACCUGAUUAGCUAGUUGGUGAGGUAAAGGCUCACCAAGGCAACGAUCAGUAGCUGGUCUGAGAGGACGAUCAGCCACACUGGGACUGAGACACGGCCCAGACUCCUACGGGAGGCAGCAGUGGGGAAUUUUGGACAAUGGGGGCAACCCUGAUCCAGCAAUGCCGCGUGAGUGAAGAAGGCCUUCGGGUUGUAAAGCUCUUUUGUCAGGGAAGAAACAGCAGCUCUAACACAGUUUGCGAAUGACGGUACCUGAAGAAUAAGCACCGGCUAACUACGUGCCAGCAGCCGCGGUAAUACGUAGGGUGCAAGCGUUAAUCGGAAUUACUGGGCGUAAAGCGUGCGCAGGCGGUUAUGUAAGACAGGCGUGAAAUCCCCGGGCUUAACCUGGGAAUUGCGCUUGUGACUGCAUAGCUAGAGUAUGUCAGAGGGGGGUAGAAUUCCACGUGUAGCAGUGAAAUGCGUAGAGAUGUGGAGGAAUACCAAUGGCGAAGGCAGCCCCCUGGGAUAAUACUGACGCUCAUGCACGAAAGCGUGGGGGAGCAAACAGGAUUAGAUACCCUGGUAGUCCACGCCCUAAACGAUGCUGACUAGUUGUUCGGGAAUUUAUUCCUGAGUAACGUAGCUAACGCGUGAAGUCAGCCGCCUGGGGAGUACGGUCGCAAGAUUAAAACUCAAAGGAAUUGACGGGGACCCGCACAAGCGGUGGAUGAUGUGGAUUAAUUCGAUGCAACGCGAAAA
rnacentral:rRNA from 1 species